UAUUUGUUGAACUGGGGUUAAUGACUUGUUGGUUGUAUUUUAUUUUUAUAACGAUCACUUCUACGAAUAAUUAUUAGAUAUUAAGAUUUUUUUAACGCUCUUUGUAUAUUUCAUAUUUCCACCACUGCUAGUUUUCAUAUUUAUUAGUAAGUAAAAUAUUUACCACGACAACAUAGACUGAACUGAUCACUACAGGACACCAAAAUAAUAAAAUGAUUCGUCCGUACAUUUUUAUUUUUCUUCCUAUUAUAAGGUACAUGAACGUUGCUGUCACUGGGUAGAACAACGAUAGUUCCGGGUCUCGGGCGUAAAAAGAAAGCGCAACAACCUCACCACGUGCGUCGUUAGCGUUGGUUUCCAAUUACAUCUGACAUCCUCAAGAUUUCUUCUUAGUCUCCUGAUCACCUAAAGCUGCACAGACACAAUAACAUUCGUUUUUGAUAACUGACAAAUAAAUCAUGGGAUGCUGGACUUUGUGAAUCUGCCAAAAUGUCAUCAAUCGCAGGACUCCCUGUACAGGGUUCAGAUGUAACGUUUUUUAUAACCAAGGUCCACUUGCAUCACCUUUGCAAGUUUGUGGAGUUCUGGGGAAAAUUUAGCCAAGAGAGGACUGCAGAGUAUGAGCGCCUAGCAGAAGACAUUCAGAUUCCAGGAUGCAUUUUUAAGGAGUUUGAAGGUAAUUCUUAUGAUCAGUGCUUGGCUCAGGUAAAUGGUACUUGGUACAGAUCUCGCAUAGUCUCAAGAAAUGGCUCAAAAUACAGCGUAUACCUCUUUGACAAAGGGACAACAGUUACCACAACCUCAAAUAUGCUGGCAUGGGGAAAGAAGGAACACUUUCACCUACCACCUGAAGUGGAAUUCUGUGUACUAGCUAAUGUGUUACCCUUGUCGCCAGAGUACAAAUGGUCUCCAGUGGCUCUGGCAUUUUUGAAAUCUCUCUCUGGCAAGUCUGUAAAGGCACAUGUGCAAGAUGUACUGGUAACCCACAGACUUUUUGUCCUGCACAUCCCCUGCAUAUCCACCACAAUGUAUGAGAUGGGAUUUGCCAAGAAGUUGUUUCCAGACAGGUUUCGGGACUUUGUGUUCAAGUCACUGGAGGUUCAGAGUGAAACGUCAACAGAGGACCAGUCUCAAUUGCUUUCAAUUAGAACAGUUGAACAACUGCAGAAGCAAGAUCUCUUUAUGUAUCCCGAGCUUCCAGUAGAAACUGUGGAGACAGUUAUUGUCACAGAAGUUAUAAAUCCACAACAGAUUUUUUGCCAGUUGAAGGUCUUUUCACAAGAGUUGACAAAAAUCUCGGAGCGACUCAAGCAGAGCUGUGAGGGCAGAAAAACAAGUUGCAUUGUAGGUCCAGAAAUGACUGGUUCUCCAUGUGCUGCCAGAGGAAAUGAUGGCAGGUGGUACCGCUCUAUUCUACAAGAGGUAUUCCCAAGUAGCAAAACAGUGGAAGUGUUGAAUGUUGACUAUGGAACAAAACAUACUAUACAGGUGGAGAAUGUAAGACCACUGGCUGCAGAGUUUUUUCGGAUGCCUGUUGUAACAUACACCUGUUCCCUCCAUGGAGUAACUGACAACGGUAUGGGAUGGACCUCAAGUCAGAUAGAGUUUCUUAGGAACCUCCUUCUGUGCAAGACAGUGAUUGCCAAAUUUGAGUACCAAAGCCUUCCUGACAGCAUCCACUAUGUCACUCUUUUUGGGGAUGAGAAUGUCAACAUUAACAACUUGUUUGGCCUAAAGGUGAGCUCCUUGCUUAAAACACAUGACGAAUAUGCGAUAGACAGCCCUGCAUACGGUCGUCAGUUGUCAGCUCACCAAGAACAAAAUCAAGAAAAAAAUGUCACCCCUAGGAAUGCUGCAAAAGAAGUAGCAGAGAUCUUAAAGAUGCUCCCAGCUGAAGAACUUCACCAGAACUCUUCUCAUUUGGCAGUUGUGCAGCAUGUAUCUAGCCCAUCAGAGUUUUGGAUUCAAAAACAUAAUUGUACAAAUGAGUUGAAUGAACUCAUGGAUAAUAUCUAUGAUUUCUACAAGGAACCUGGUAAAGAUGUGGUGAGAAAUCCAAGUGUUGGGCUUUAUUGUGCUGCCAGGGCAGAAAAUGGUGACUUCUACAGAGCAGUUGUGUCUGAAGUUGGUGAAAGAUGCAUCAAGGUGUUCUUUGUGGAUUAUGGAAGCACUGAAUCAGUUGACAGGAUUAAUAUCAGGAUCCUGCCAGACAGGUUCAAGAGGCUACCACGGCUUGCGCUCAAGUGUUCCCUGGCUGGUGUCAGACCAAAAGAUGAGAGAUGGAGCCAAAGUGCCUGUGGGGCUUUCAUCAACGUAGUCAUAGGUAAAAUAUUACAUGUGCACGUGGUUGCUGAACUAGACGACUGCUAUGUCGUCCAUCUAACAGAUCCUGAAGCACAGGGUGAAAAAGAUCUUGGUACGCUAAUGUGUAGUUUGGCUUUUGCUCAAAGUAACAAGAUACAGGGACAACCCAAAACCAAAAUAAGCAUGCAACCUGCCAUUCUGCCUCUUGCUCAACCGCCAGGUGCCAAAAACUCACACAGGAACAGUGGAAAGUCUGUCCAGACUCAAAACACUGAAGGGCUUGACAACAACGAAAGAAUACGUCUUAAAUUUAAGGAGCAUAUAUUUCCCAUUGGAAGUGUCCUAGAUGUUGGUGUGUCCUGUAUUGAAAGCCCCAAUGACUUCUGGUGCCAACUAGUACAAAAUGCAGGUCACUUGAAAUUGCUCAUGCAUGACAUACAGGCUCACUAUUCAGGCAGUGAGUUUCAGCCUGUUUUAGAACCAGCUUGUGUUGCUCGCCACCCUGAUAAUGGAAUGUGGUACCGGGCCUUCAUCAUUCACAAACACGAAACGCCUCAUGUAGACGUAUUGUUUGUUGACUAUGGCCAGACAGAGACAGUCUCCCUCUAUGACCUGAGAAAGAUAUGUCCGAAAUUCCUCACUUUGCAAGGCCAAGCUUUUCGAUGCCGUCUACUAAACAUUGCAGACCCAACGUGUGUUGUGAAUGAUUGGAACGAUGAAGCAAUAGCAAGGUUCAACAACUUUGUAAAAACAGCUGCUUGCAAUUUUGUGAUUUUAAAGUGCACCAUAUUUGCUAUCAUGUGCAAUGAACAGAAGAUUCUUUUCAACAUUGUGGAUCUUGAAACUCCCUUUGAGAGUAUCUGCGCCAGCUUGGUCAAUCUUGUGAAAAGUGCAUCUUCCCAGAAAACCUCAAAACCAUCUUUCCAUCUAGAUACGUACUACUAUUCAAGGCACAACAUCAAAACUGGGACAGAAGAGCAGGUGUCGGUGACUUGUGUGAACAGUGUCGGUCAGUUCUAUUGCCAGCUUGAAAGGAAUACUAAUUUGUUGAAAGACCUGAAUAGCAAAGUGCGCAAUCUCUGCUGUCGGCUAAAUAAUGCACUGCCUCUACCAGGCUAUGGGACUCUGUGUUUUGCCAAGUACACUGAUGGACAAUGGUACAGGGGACAGAUCAAGGCUACAAAACCAGCAAUUCUGGUUCACUUUGUGGAUUAUGGUAACACUGUUGAAGUGGACAAAUCUGAUCUGCUACCUGUAACAAGUGAAGCUAAUGAAAUCGUGUCUGUGCCUGUGCAGGCAAUUGUGUGCAGUCUGUCCGAUGUCCCUGCCAGUAUUCCCAGUGAGGCAAACACCUGGUUUGAGAAAAGUGCAACAGACUGUAAAUUCCGAGCUUUGAUAGUAGCUCGAGAACCUGAUGGGAAACUACUUGUUGAGCUGUAUCACAGACACACUCAGAUUAACUCCAAGAUCAAGAAGAUGUUUCACAUUGAGAUGGACAGAGAACAGGCUGUUUGCCAUGGCGGGAAAGUACAGGAGCCUGCUAAUAAUGAACUAAUUCCAAAAGCUGCACCAAAACAAGCUAACGAAAUGAAGGAUCACACACAAACUGUAAGUAGGGUUUCUGCCCUGAAGCCAGCACAUAAAAUGAGAGAAGACCCCAAGCCUGCUGAAGUGGGUCUACAAUCUGCAUCAAAGUCUUCUCGCCGGAAAGCUGAAGCCGCUUCACAAGAACUCUACAGACCUCCUCACCAAAGACAGUUAUGUGAGCAUGUACAGAGUGUAAUGGGAAAUGGUUUUGAGCCAGCAGAUGCCCAGGUUGAACCUAAUACUAAUCUUUCCACAGACAUUAAACAACUGCACAAGUCUACUUCACCUGGCAUGGGAUUUCAGAAAGAAAAAUGCCCUAAAGUUGAAGACCUGCCCCUAAAUUCUGUCACGUCUGGUAUGGAAGCAGAUGUUUACGUCUCUCACUGCAACAAUCCGCUGAGUUUUUUCGUUCAACUUGUCAGAGAUGAGGAUGAAAUUUUCUCAGUUGUUGAAAAGCUCAAUGAUCCCAAAUCCUUCCUGAAAACCAAUGUUGUCAAAGAUUUGAAUCCAGGUGACCUUGUUCAAGCAGAGUUUGAAGAAGACUCCUCAUGGUACCGAGCAGUUGUAAGAGAGGUUCAUGCUGACGCAAUGGCCCUUGUUGAAUUUCUCGACUUUGGUAACGCAUCAAUGACGCCUAUUUCCAAAAUAGCAGCGCUCGAUAAGUAUUUCCUGCAGUUUCCCGUGUACAGCACACACUGCAUGCUGAGCAGUGCUGUAGAUUAUCACACAGACAAAGUGUGUUCUCCAGAAGUGGUGUCUGUCUUUAAAGAGGCUGUUGGAGGUAAUGGAGAAAAGGUUCUCAGGUGUCUGUUUAUCAGGCCUUCUGGGUCUCUGUGGGAAGUCAGUCUCGGAGACAAUGGAGUUAAUGUCACCUGUGAAGUGAGCACUGGAACCAAUAGUUCUGAAGUCUCCUCAGUAAUAGUUGAACAUGUUGAGGAAAACCCUGAGGAAAACCUCCACACACACCCUGACUCUCCACAUUAUGAACAGCAAGAGCUUUUAGAGGGACAGCAAUUGGAGAUCUAUGUUGCAGCUAUAAAUGAUGCUCAGACCAUUUGGUGUCAGAGUGCUGAAACAAAAGACCUUGAUGAAAUCACAUCAAGAGUCUCAGAAGUUGUGGCUGAUCAUAAUUCUCUUAACCCAGGGUCUCUGUCCCCUGGCAGCCCGUGCAUUGCCCUGUUUUCAGGUGAUAAAUUUUGGUAUCGUGCAGAGGUCAUUGACAAAGAUGGUGAUGACCUGCAUGUUCUGUUUGUGGAUUAUGGAAAUGUGGCUCAAGUGAACAUUGCAGAUCUGAGGGAAAUACCCCGUGACCUGCUAAAAGUUCCUCCACAGGCGUUUGUUUGUGAGCUGGAAGGUUUUGACUCUUCAUGUGGAUCUUGGGAUAGCUGUGCAGUCGAGGAGUUGUCCACAGUCACAGCUGACAAGUUGUUGCAGCUGACUAUCACCAGAGUGGAAAGAAAUGGAAAAAAUCUGAAAUGCUUUGGCCUGAUUGAAAGUGAUCACCAGUCAAUAAAUGAGAUAAUGAAAGUCUGGUGGAGGAGCCCCACAACAGAUGAAAAACCUGGUGAAAUAAAAUCAACUCCUUUAUAUGAGCCAUCACUGAAAUGUGACUCGGCUGAAGUUCAAGUCAAUGAUAAGGAGCAGUCCUCUGAGCCUAAUGAGCCCCCCAAAACAAAUGAAGUUAAGCUAACAAGCAGAUUGAAAACCAAUGACCUUCUAAAUUUGGAUCCGUUCAAAUCUAAGGAGGCUUUAUUACCACAUGGUGGCACUGAAGAAACAGUGCCUACUCCAUUCAAUGAAAAAGACGAUCACUGGGUUUUUACCAACUGUGACAAGAACGUGUGUGAAUCUGAAAAGGACUCUGAACAGCUGGGUACAUCUGUGAUGGACUGUACUGGCCCAGAUGAUUUCCCCUUUUCUCUGGAUGAGGAACUUAAAGAAGCCACAGAUAUAUCAGUGGUUAAAACCACAAAACUGGCAGAAGUAGAUGCUGAAAACCCAAGAAGCUGCAUUGAUGACGUGCCCUUUUCUGUUCCUAAGCAGGAUGAUGGUGAGAUGGUUUCAAGGGAGACUUUUGUUACCAAUGUGGGAGCAGUGAAAAUGGUGUGUCGCAGGAAAAGCCCUGAUCUCAAUAAGGAAACCAAAAUGAGUUCCAAAGAUGUAGAGGAGGUCCUGAGCAAAACACUUGAAUCGCCCUCUCAGCCGGACUUUGAAGAGCUUUCGUUGCAGGACGACAUGAAGACUAACAAGAUUCUUAAUCCACAUGAAUGGAGUAGAACAGAGCCUUGGUCAGUUUUCAAGAAAGUGGAUUGUUUAGUAGUUGAGAGUAACUCAAGAGAGGAGGCCCCGGCUCCGGCCCUUGAAGAAGAGGAGGCCCCGGCUCCGGCCCUUGACGAAGAGGAGGCCCCGGCUCCGGCCCUUGACGAAGAGGAGGCCCCGGCUCCGGCCCUUGACGAAGAGGAGGCCCCGGCUCCGGCCCUUGACGAAGAGGAGGCCCCGGCUCCGGCCCUUAACGAAGAGGAGGCCCCGGCUCCGGCCCUGGCAUUGCCUCCAGCUCUGGCCCUUGAAGAAAAGGAGGUCCCGGCUCCGGCCCUGGCAUUGCCUCCAGCUCCGGCCCUUGAAGAAAAGGAGGUCCCGGCUCCGGCCCUUGAAGAAAAGGAGGUCCCGGCUCCGGCCCUUGACGAAGAGGGGACCCCAGCUCUGGCCCUUGACGAAGAGGGGACCCCAGUUCUGGCCCAUGACGAGGAAGAGGCUCUGGCACUGCCUACGACUCUGGCCCUUGACGAAGAGGAGGCCCCGGCUCUGACCCUUGAAGGGAACGAGGCUCCGGCCCUUGAAGGAAACAAUGCCCCGGCCCUGGCAUCGUCUCCAGCUCCGGCCCUUGAAGAAAAGGGGACCCCGGCUCUGGCCCUUGACCAAGAGGAGGCUCUGGCCCUUGACCAAGAGGAGGCUCUGGCCCUUGACCAAGAGGAGGUCCCCGCCCUGCCUCCGCCUCUGGCCCUUGAAGAAGAGGGGGCCCCGGCACUGCCUCCGGCUCGGGCCCUUGACGAAGAGGAGGCCCCGGCUCGGGCCCUUGACGAAGAGGAGGCCCCGGCUCGGGCCCUUGACGAAGAAGAGGCCCCGGCUCGGGCCCUUGACGAAGAGGAGGCCCCGGCUCGGGCCCUUGACGAAGAAGAGGCCCCGGCUCGGGCCCUUGACGAAGAAGAGGCCCCGGCUCGGGCCAUUGACGAAGAGGAGGCCCCGGCUCCGGCCCUGGCAUUGCCUCCAGCUCCGGUCCUUGAAGAAAAGGAGGUCCCGGCUCCGGCCCUGGCAUUGCCUCCAGCUCCGGCCCUUGAAGAAAAGGAGGUCCCGGCUCCGGCCCUGGCAUUGCCUCCAGCUCCGGCCCUUGAAGAAAAGGAGGUCCCGGCUCCGGCCCUUGAAGAAAAGGAGGUCCCGGCUCUGGCCCUUGACGAAGAGGGGACCCCAGCUCUGGCCCUUGACGAAGAGGGGACCCCAGUUCUGGCCCAUGACGAGGAAGAGGCUCUGGCACUGCCUACGACUCUGGCCCUUGACGAAGAGGAGGCCCCGGCUCUGACCCUUGACGGGAACGAGGCUCCGGCCCUUGAAGGAAACAAUGCCCCGGCCCUGGCAUCGUCUCCAGCUCCGGCCCUUGAAGAAAAGGGGACCCCGGCUCUGGCCCUUGACCAAGAGGAGGCUCUGGCCCUUGACCAAGAGGAGGCCCCCGCCCUGCCUCCGCCUCUGGCCCUUGAAGAAGAGGGGGCCCCGGCACUGCCUCCGGCUCGGGCCCUUGACCAAGAGGGGGCCCCGGCUCGGGCCCUUGACCAAGAGAGGGCCCCGGCUCGGGCCCUUGACCAAGAGGGGGCCCCGGCUCGGGCCCUUGACCAAGAGGGGGCCCCGGCUCCGGCCCUUGAUCAAGAGGGGGCCCCGGCACUGCCUCCGCCUCCAGCCCUAGAUGAAGAGGCGGCCCCAGCUCCCGGCCUCAAAGAAGAGGGGGCCCCGGCACUGUCUCCGCCUCCGGGCUAUGAAAAAAAGGGGGCCCUGGCCCCUGGCGAAGAGAAACUGUUUGCUCUGUCAUCUGACAUGGAGUAUGAAACCUACACAAAUAAUGGUUCAGAUAUGAGUACCCUGGCCUUGCUUGUGAAAAAGAUCUCUCUGACAGACUGCAAAGACCAACAAGAAGCAGCUCAAACAAAUGAGUGACCCAGCAGUACUCACACCAGCCCAAAAGGAGUUUGACACUAGUGUACUUCCAGAAGAAAUGUUUCCUGCUGACAGAUAUGAGACCCAGCUGUCAGAAUAGUGGAGAAGUGGUUUUGUUGAUGUUCUGCAGCAGCCAGAGGAGAAGAUUUAAUUGUAUUGAUUUAAGGUGUGUGAUAGUUCUGAAAAUGCAAAUUCAUAUGUUCACAUUAGAACAUCCUUGAGUUCAGGUCUAUCUGUUUGUUUUUGGUCUUGAUUUUAGUUUACCUGCUUUCAUUUAAGGUCUUUUGUUGGUUUGCACUUUUUUAAUUAACUAGCUGGAUAAAUGUGUCUUAGUACAAGACAGAGAAGAUUGUUGAAGAUAAGACCAAUUGAAACAGCCGUCAGGUGAACUAUUACAGUUUUCAAGGAUAAAAAUUAUAGCUUUAUGUUGGUACAAUAAAUAUUACUACACCUA